UGGGGAAUUUUGGACAAUGGGCGAAAGCCUGAUCCAGCCAUUCCGCGUGAGUGAAGAAGGCCUUCGGGUUGUAAAGCUCUUUCGGCAGGAACGAAACGGUGAGAGCUAAUAUCUCAUUACUAAUGACGGUACCUGAAGAAGAAGCACCGGCUAACUACGUGCCAGCAGCCGCGGUAAUACGUAGGGUGCGAGCGUUAAUCGGAAUUACUGGGCGUAAAGCGUGCGCAGGCGGUGACUCAAGUCAGAUGUGAAAGCCCCGGGCUUAACCUGGGAACGGCAUUUGAAACUAGGUCGCUAGAGUAUGGCAGAGGGGGGUAGAAUUCCACGUGUAGCAGUGAAAUGCGUAGAGAUGUGGAGGAAUACCGAUGGCGAAGGCAGCCCCCUGGGUCAAUACUGACGCUCAUGCACGAAAGCGUGGGGAGCAAACA
rnacentral:rRNA from 1 species